GGGGGUAUAACUCAGUUGGUAGAGUGCUUGCCUUGCAUGCAUAAGGCCCUGGGCUUAAUCCCCAGAACCCCCC
rnacentral:tRNA from 1 species